UCAACGAGUUUUUAUCCUUGGCCGACAGGCACGGGUAAUCUUUGAAAUUUCAUCGUGAUGGGGAUAGAUCAUUGCAAUUGUUGGUCUUCAACGAGGAAUUCCUAGUAAGCGCGAGUCAUCAGCUCGCGUUGACUACGUCCCUGCCCUUUGUACACACCGCCCGUCGCUCCUACCGAUUGAAUGAUCCGGUGAAGUGUUCGGAUCGCGUCGACGUGAGCGGUUCGCUGCCCGCGACGUCGUGAGAAGUCCACUGAACCUUAUCAUUUAGAGGAAGGAGAAGUCGUAACAAGGUUUCCGUAGGUGAACCUGCGGAAGGAUCAUUGUCGAAUCCCUAAAAACAAAAAUGACUUGAGAAUAUGUUCAAUAGCAUGCAUCGGCUGUGAGGGCAAAGCCUUUUCGUCCGUUGCUCUUUGCCGGACCAAUUGUUGGUUGUGUUGGGCAAUAGAAAACAAAAAUCGGCACGGGAAGUGCCAAGGGCUUAUGAAAUGGGAUGCCUUUAUCGUGGAGGGGGACCGUUUGCGGAAUCCCUUUACCACGAUUCUCAAAAGGUGUCCGUAAAAGAAACCUUAUACGACUCUCGACAACG
rnacentral:rRNA from 1 species